UGCCAGCCGCCGCGGUAACACGUAGGAUCCAAACGUUAUCCGGAUUUACUGGGCGUAAAGCGCGUGCAGGCGGUUUGGUAAGUUGGGUGUCAAAGCUCCGGGCUCAACCCGGAGAGGUCGCUCAAAACUCCCAAACUAGAGGACGGUAGAGGAAGGUGGAAUUCCAGGUGUAGUAGUGAAAUCCGUAGAUAUUCGGAGAAACACCAGUGGCGAAGGCAUCUCUCUGGGCCGAUAUUGACGCUGAGGCGCGAAGGCGUGGGUAGCGAACGGGAUUAGAUA
rnacentral:rRNA from 1 species